AUUGAACGCUGGCGGCAGGCCUAACACAUGCAAGUCGAACGAGUGGCGGACGGGUGAGUAAUGUCUGGGAAACUGCCUGAUGGAGGGGGAUAACUACUGGAAACGGUAGCUAAUACCGCAUACCAUCGGAUGUGCCCAGAUGGGAUUAUCUAGUAGGGGGGGUAACGGCUCACCGAGGCGACGAUCCCUAGCUGGUCUGAGAGGAUGACCAGCCACACUGGAACUGAGACACGGUCCAGACUCCUACGUGAGGCAGCAGUGGGGAAUAUUGCACAAUGGGCGCAAGCCUGAUGGAGCAAUGCCGCGUGUAUGAAGAAGGCUUUCGGGUUGUAAAGUACUUUCAGCGGGGAGGCGUUACUCGCAGAAGAAGCACCGGCUAACUCCGUGCCAGCAGCCGCGGUAAUAC
rnacentral:rRNA from 1 species